AGCUCCAAUAGCGUAUAUUAAAGUUGUUGCGGUUAAAAAGCUCGUAGUUGGAUUUCUGUCCGGGGCGACCGGUCCACCCAUCGGGUGAGCAUCUGGUCCGCUUUGGGCAUCCUUCUGGGGAACGCAUCUGCACUUGACUGUGUGGUGUGCGGAAUCUAGAACUUUUACUUUGAGGAAAUUAGAGUGUUCACUGCAGGCGUCCGCCUUGAAUAUAUUAGCAUGGAAUAAUAAGAUAGG
rnacentral:rRNA from 1 species